UGUGGUCUUCCGAUCUCAGAAACACAUUUGAAGUGAAGUUGAAAUUGAUACCAUAUUUUAAGAGGGGCAAGUACAACAGGAUUAUCUGUGUACUGAGACAAGGACACAGGGAGAGAUGAAAAUAAUAAGGCAGGGAGAGGUAGACAAUCACGACU